ensembl:lncRNA
CCCCCCGGCAGCGCCUCCGUUUCCCCACGUGCCGCUGAGGGCAGUGAGCCCAGCAGGGGAAGGGUGAGCGGUAAACACUGCCGCCCUGGAAACCCCAUAACAGAGCGGAGACCCCAUAACAGAGCGGAGACCCCAUAACAGAGUGGAGACCCCAUAACAGAGCGGAGACCCCACAACAAACAGAGCGGAGACCCCACAACAGAGCGGAGACCCCAUAACAGAGCGGAGACCCCAUAACAGAGCGGAGACCCCACAACAAACAGAGCGGAGACCCCACAACAACAAACAGAGCGCUCUGUGAGACCCUAUAAGAAACAAAGGGGGUCCCACCGGGUCGGCGCUGAAGCGGUCCCUGCAGCUCUGCACCCCACAGUGAGCAGCAGCCCCGUAUGGUCGGCCCCAUGAGGGAGAGGGGGGGAACCACACAGCGACCCCAUAGCCCCAUGCAGACCCCAUAGUCCCAUAUAGACCCCAUAGCCCCGCAUGGACUCCAUAGCCCCAUGCAGACCCCAUAGUCCCAUAUAGACCCCAUAGCCCCGCAUGGACUCCAUAGCCUCAUACAGACCCCAUAGUCCCAUGCAGACCCCAUAGCCCCAUACAGACCCCAUAGACCCGCAUGGACCCCAUAGCUCCAUGCAGACCCCAUAGUCCCAUACAGACCCCAUAGACCCACAUGGACCCCAUAGCUCCAUGCAGACCCCAUAGCCCCAUACAGACCCCAUAGCCCCAUGCAGACCCCAUAGCCCCAUACAGACCCCGUAGCCCCACAUGGACCCCAGGAUCCCAUAACCUCAAACAGACCCCAUAGCCCUGCACAGACCCCACAGCCCCAUAUGGAACAUGGGUUUCCAUAACCCUGCAUGGACUCGGGGAUCCCAUAACCACACACGGACCCCAUAGCCCUACACAGACCCCAUAGCCACACAUGCACCCCACAGCCCUACACAGACCCCAUAGCCCCACAUGGACCCCAUAACCCUGCACGGACACUCGGAUCCCAUAGCCCCACAUGGGCCCCAUAGCCCUGCACAGACCCCACAGCCCCACAUGGAACAUGGGACCCCAUAACCCUGAGUGGACCCUGGGAUCCCAUAGCCCUGCACAGAUCCCAUAACCACACACACACCCCACAGCCCCAAAUGGAACAUGGGAUCCCAUAACCCUGAGUGGACCCUGGGAUCCCAUAGCCCCACAUGGGCCCCACAGCCCUACACAGACCCCAUACCCUACACAGACCCCAUAGCCUACACAGACCCCAUAGCCCUACACAGACCCCACAGCCCCACAUGGAACAUGGGACCCCAUAACCCUGAGUGGACCCUGGGAUCCCAUAGCCCCACAUGGGCCCCAUAGCCCUACACAGACCCCAUAGCCUACACAGACCCCAUAGCCUACACAGACCCCACAGCCCCACAUGGAACAUGAGAUCCCACAACCCUGAGUGGACCCUGGGAUCCCAUAGCCCUGCACAGACCCCAUAGCCCUACACAGACCCCAUAGCCUACACAGACCCCAUACCCUACACAGACCCCAUAGCCCUGCACAGACCCCAUAGCCCUACACAGACCCCACAGCCCCACAUGGAACAUGGGACCCCAUAACGCUGAGUGGACCCUGGGAUCCCAUAGCCCCACAUGGGCCCCAUAGCCCCGCGCAGACCCCACAGCCCCACACGGCCACACAGCGGCUCUAUGGGGCCGUUCCCCCUCAGCCCCACCGCAGACCUAAAAUGGAGCGCAGCGCGGUGGCGUCGCCCCCAUAAGGUUCCGCUUUGGGAUCGGCACCCCGCCGCCGCCCCAUAGACGGCCCUACAGCCGCCUCUCCCGGGGGCGGGGGGGGAGCGGAGGAACCUUUGGCCGAGUUGGAGCGGAGCGGCGGUGGGGCGGCGGCCAACAGCGCUGAGCAGAACGGGGGGGGGAUGGGAGGGGGGUG